rnacentral:rRNA from 1 species
CCUACGGGGGGCAGCAGUGAGGAAUAUUGGUCAAUGGACGAGAGUCUGAACCAGCCAAGUAGCGUGAAGGAUGACUGCCCUAUGGGUUGUAAACUUCUUUUAUAUGGGAAUAAAAUGUUCCACGUGUGGGAUUUUGUAUGUACCAUAUGAAUAAGGAUCGGCUAACUCCGUGCCAGCAGCCGCGGUAAUACGGAGGAUCCGAGCGUUAUCCGGAUUUAUUGGGUUUAAAGGGGGCGUAGGUGGAUUGUUAAGUCAGUUGUGAAAGUUUGCGGCUCAACCGUAAAAUUGCAGUUGAAACUGGCAGUCUUGAGUACAGUAGAGGUGUGCGGAAUGCGUGGUGUAGCGGUGAAAUGCUUAGAUAUCACGAAGAACUCCGAUUGCGAAGGCAGUUCACUGGACUGCAACUGACACUGAGGCUCGAAAGUGUGGGUAUCAAACAGGAUUAGAUACCCCUGUAGUC